rnacentral:tRNA from 3 species
GCCGAUGUAGCUCAGCUGGUAGAGCAGCUGAUUUGUAAUCAGCGGGUCGGGGGUUCGAAUCCCUUCAUCGGCUCCA